CCCCAUUCUUACAAAUCAGUCAAUUAUAAAUGUUUUCAUUAAUGAAAUGUAAAAAGAAAACAAUAUUAUAUAGAAGUCCUACUUCCGAGUAAAUAUUAUCUUGUAAAGGUCCUGUGGAAAAACAUAAAAAUAAACCUGAAAAAAACAACUGCUGCUACGCUUCAAGAGCGUUUCAAGACAGGCGGGGGACUCCCAGUUCCACCAGACACAAAGGAGUUGGGGGACUUGUUGGCUGGGAUUAUUGAAAGUCAGCAACCCCUGGAAGGUAUUCCAGAUGAUGACCAUUUGGACAGUUCAGAUGACCUGAUCUUGACACAGGACUUGGGGGGCGCAGGGAACAGUCAAGAUGCUCAAAUGAAUCCAGCAGCAGCCAGCACCAACAUGCAGCAGCAUCCAGUCUCCUGCAGUAGCAGUAGUCAGCAUCCAGCAGUCUCUAAUCCAGGCAGCAGGUCAAGAGGGAAAAGGAUGACCAUUCAUGAGAAACUUGCCAUAGAGUUCCAUGAACGUAAAUUACAAUAUUUAAAAGAAGAACAUGAAGUCAAAAUGAAAAUCCUUCAUCUUGAGUUGUCUAUGAAAGAGAGAGACAUGAAGCAGCAGCAGUGUCAACUGACUUUGGAACAAAAUCUCAGUUAAAUAAAUAAUUUCAUGAAUUUUUUUUUUACCUGUCUAUGCCAAUCAUUUAUGUAUCACUCAAGGCUCAUUUAUGAGAAGUGCUGCAAAGCAAAAGCAUCUCUGUAAGCAAGUCCAUUUCUGUCAUUGGCUAGCUCAGCGAUAGGGAUAUGUUGGUCAUCAUCAUUUGCAAUAUCAGGGUCUGGGCAGCCACACUGUUUAAGAAAAUUAUGAAGCACUGCUGUUGCAAUAAUAACAAUGCAGCACCUCCUAGGUUCAAACCGCAGUGUAUUUCGGAGACACUGGAAACGAUUCUUCCAUACACCAAACAUGCGCUCUAUUAGCCCUCUGGUGAGCAUGUGAGCUUGGUUAUAGCGCUGUUGCUCUGGUCUGACUGGAUGGAGAUAGGGGGUGAACAAGAAGUUUGUCUGUGCAUACCCACUGUCACCAAGUAGAAUUCCAGAGUGUUGUCUUGUUUCAAACUGACCGUACAAAGGAGUUGUGGAAAAUCCUUGAGUCAUGGGUUGAACCUUUCCAACGUGCAAUAAUAUUGGAGAACUGCAUAGUGGGAGUGCACACUCCUUGUACAUUUAUUGAAAACCAGUUUUUACGAUUUCUGAAUUCCUCAGCAUCUGCUGUAGAGGGACACUUGAUGGGAAUGUGGCAGCCAUCGAUACAACCAAUGACUCCAGGGAAGUUACCAUAUUCAUAGAAUCUACCUUGUAGGUGGCCUGUUCAGCAGCAUUUGGGAAUUUGAUGAAAUCCUUUUUCAGUUCACAUAUAGCACUGCAGACUCUGUGUACUAUUUUGCACACUGUUGAUUCACCUACACCACACAAAUCCCCAGUUUCACGAUGGAAGGUUCCACAUGCCAAAAACCUUAAGGUAAUUAAUAUUUGUAAGGAAGGAGAAAUAGGAGUGCCCCUGACUAAGUCACCUGAAAGCUUGGGCUGCAGCAAACCAAUU
ensembl:lncRNA